rnacentral:snoRNA from 1 species
AUGGACGAUGCAACCCCGGGCUUCUCUGAAUUAUGCAUGAGGUGAAAGCCCCAUUGCUCGUGCAAAAUCAACGCCGUUCGUGUUGCAGUUCAGUCUUAGUGUUGUUUUGAAAUUCGAAAACCUUUGAAAACAAUUUAUGCCACCGAAAAUAUUA